ensembl:lncRNA
CGGCUACAGAGGGAUAGAGAGAAUCACAAGACUGCACACUAGACCCGCGAGCUCAAAAAUAAUCGAAAACUACAAAAAUGAACCAAAACAUGAAAUGAGCGACAACAAAGAGAACCAUUUAAGCGCUCGAAAUAUGAUGAAUGUUUUUUACUGACUGGAGUUGACAACAGCAUCUUAAGCCAAUUGUUUCAGUGGAAUGAGCGGUCCUCGAUGCCUGAACAGUUGGAUCGGUGGGCAAAUGACGGUCUGAGAAGCGCGGUGUCUGCUGAGCAAAACCGAGUGUUUUCACUCAGCUUCGACAUUAUCAAACAAAGGGAGACUCAUUUUACGGAUGUAUAAAGACUUGAUAUUGUAAAACUAAUUUGCACGAUUGUUUCAAAGUCGUCUACCGAGGAGUAGCAUUUGGAACAAGAGGAUUCAUAUGCCCAGAUGAAUUUCAUAUUUUUACAUUGGAUGUAAGCCCACGGCGCGCCUCGGACACGGAUUUGUGAAGUAGCCUAUUUUCUCUUGACAAUUUUAAGAUUACACAAAAUAUUGAUAUUUUGUAUCGGUUUGCUGACAGUGAGCACAAAUGUUAAUACUUAGCUAAAUCAACUAUCUAUGUGGUUUCUUUACUGUAUUAUCCUACCCUUGCUAACAGAACAUGAGAUCUAAAGAAACAGCUCACAUUUAGAUAACGGAGAGAAGUUGUGAUUUCCCCCCCAUCUAAAUCCAGAUAAACUGUUGUUUUUUACCAUCAAAAACGGGACAGUAAACCAAAGACGUCUAUGUACUAAAGGAUCGCACAGCUCUGUCUAGCUUUGCGAAAUAGUUUUCAAUUUAUAUAUAAGAAGUGAAUUACCUCAUCAUUUAUUGAACCCGAAAAGUCAACAACACCGCUUUGAAUCCAAAGGAAACAAAUAUAUUUUUUUGUUUGACUGUAAAAGUGUCGAAUUUAUCUUUUUUUUCCUCCUCUCUCUCUCUCUCAAUACCUUUCAUUAUCAGAGAGAAGGAAUAACACCUUAAUGAAUUGUGUUCAAUAUCUCCGAAGGCUUUAUCCUUUCUUCCAAAUAAUGAGGAUCGGGGCGUUAUAAUCGUCAUUAUUUGGUCUGGAUUAUUUUCGCUGCAAUUACCUGAACCUGAACCCGACCUUCACAAAGUAGCACAGAACAGAAGGUUGGAACGAUGCCCGAUUCACCUGCUGAUGUCAAAACCCAGCCCAGGUUGACUCCGCCCACAAUGCCACCUCCACCCCCGGCCGUCAGCCAGGCACCCAAUCGCAACGCUUCAUUCACACCCACCACCAGUGUUUUGUGCAGCAUUGGGCCGGACAGGAUGUGAACAGAAUAGUGAGCUGGUAGGAGUGCUGCAUCAGCUCUUCUCUGUCAUUGGCACGGCUCUACCUCUGCGGCUGUUAGGAAGGGAACCUGCCUGGGCUUCAGGGAAACGGGCUGCUACAGGCUGCUGAUGGGCUUCAUAGGCCUGGCUGUGUGUUUCUGAUGAUACUGUAGCUUCAACAUGAUGAAGACUAGACUUCAGUCAGUUGUGUGUGUAGAAUUCCCUGGUGGAUCAAGUGUCUUGGAGUAUGUGUGAGAAUGGCUG